AACAAGCCACCACUGGUGUAGGCAUACGGUUUAUACUGAUAGGUUUAGGCUUAACCGAGAGAGACCCCGUUGGUAAAGUUAGGAGGGCCACCGACGCGGGCGGGUAAAUUAAGCACUCUCUUAUCUUGUGGUCCUAUCUGAAAGGUUUACACAUAUUGUCAAGAAACCAUCAACAUAAAGCAGGACUAUAGCAUUAACCCCUUAAUUUUAACCCUAACUCUAAAAUUACCUUGUGCUGAUCCUACUAUACCUUAGCAUAAUAAUAACUAAAUUUAAGUUUAGACUUUAUAGAGAUAUGAAUUUAACCUGCUAUUUCCACAGUGUAAUCCCAGCUAAUAUUAAAAUGUAAAAUCUUUACCGUCUCCCUGAGUUUGCAGAUGUCUAUUAUGGCGCAAUAUAUAACAACUAAAGUUAAUGUUGUAAAUACACCUUUCAAAUUUAAUAUCACCAAAUAAGAUAAAGGCACGAUAUCUUAUAAUUAAGAUGCUGCUGCUUAUCCCCCCGGGGUAAAAUUACUUUAACUCAAAAGUGGAGGUAUGGUAUACCAAUAUAUGACCCUCUUUUCACGCCUUCCUUAAAGAGGAUAGCGGUUUCAGCUUUUCUCUACUGACACAGAACAUGUGCUCAACCUUAUACUUAUUACUAUGCUCCUUAUGACUCUAACUCGCCCUUCCGUGGAAUGCCGUCUAUUGUCGGCCUCAUGAAAUGACAAUAAUUUUAAUAAAUGGCUAUUAGGUUCUGUCCAUGUUGGUGGGACCGAGGUUUAUCGAGGUAUACAGCCGGCCAAGCCGGGUAGGACCGCUGAAUAUUAUAGAGGGUACUCGUUAGCCUUUCUCUCAUUUGGACUCUACGUUAACCUGCGGUACUAUAUCCCAGCCCUAUACUGGGCGUACUUGUACACCUAUUUCUACCUAAUCUGUUAGAGUAUGUUGUGGGCCACUUGAUCACGCAGCUUACCUCGAAGGUUUUAUUGCUGGUUAUGCUUUAGUACGUCCGACUAGGGGUAGAACUAACACUACUAGAUACUGGUAGAAUCUUGCUCUUAUUGGUUUUAAUGACGGUGGUGAUCGUUAUAUUGGUUUUUGGGUUCAACCCGGAUUUGAUCUCCCUGGGGGAGUUGGCAGCAGAAUCGUGGGCAGAAACAAUUCCAAGGAUUGGGAAACCAGAAAAUAGUUGAUGGUCCACAGACCCAACCCAUAAAUUAGUUAGUUAAAAGAAUGGCCGGCUACAAAUAUUGGUAAUCCUUGUUUGCUGACAAGUGCCCAGCAUACUUGCUAGUUUGUAGGAUCCUCAGAGACUGGUGCCAUAAAGUCCCCACGCGUCUCCAUCACCGCGCGUCUCCAUCGCACCCAGCUCCCCGGAGCUCCCCGUGGGUCCCCAUGGGUCCCCGGGACCGAUAUUAGCAAAUAUUAAUCGAUAUUCGUAGAUAUUAACAGAUAUUUAUGAUUAUUAAUUUAUAUUCAUGAUUUACAUUAAAUCUUUCUUUAUAUUGCAGAUUAUUCUAUUAAAUACUUGGCUUGUUAAUCUCUUUUAUAGCUGCAACUCUAAAUCUCUUCUUAUUAUUCUUUAUGGAUACCGGAGGUAUGAGCCUUAUAUAUUGGGCAUGAUCUCAGCUCAUGCCCAAUCCUUGGAAUUGUUUAUGGUCCUUGACCCUGCCUGCGAGCGUCAACCGCGGUUUGGUUGCCUGUUAAAAGUGGAAAACCAGCUUGCGAAUAAACGAUAAAUCCCCGCAAGUUAAUGGUCAGGACUUUAUUUUUCAGGAGCCUAUACCCAUAAAAGGGUAAGCAAGAUAAACCUGCAAAUCGAGAAAGCCAAGUAUAUAGAAAUAACAACACGAAUCAAAAUGCGCCUAGACUAACUAAUUAUUUUAAUCUUUCCGAAAUUGUCUUGAUGUUAAACCGUCUCUUAUAAUAUUAAAUGUUGGACGAAUCUUUUUAUAAAAUAUUCAAUUCAAUCUAAUACGAAACUAGCCGAAUUGAUGUAAAUUGAAGCUCCUUUUAAACACAAUUAUGAUAUAGCUUCUCUCCUCUCUAAACUCAUGUUGGGCAGAUAAAGAGCCUUUUAAUAUGUAACUAAUGGAUGAUCUUGAUGUGGGCUUUUAAGCCCCUACAGACAAAUGAAUAAGCUGCAUUGUUUUCUAGAUCCUUAUUUAUUUUAAGGAGCAACAUUCACUCGUAAAAUUGUAACAUGAAACUAUCCAACUUUUAUAUAGAGAGGAAUAUUUGUAAAUAAGCAGGUACGGAUCAUUUUAUAAUUUCUAGUUUUAUGCUAUUUUUGAUAGCUGUUUAUCCAUAAACUUUUUAUCACUUAAUUUUGGUAUGUUUAAAUUUAAUCUUUCGACAAUUCAAGUAAAUAGUACGCCCUAAGGCACACCACCAUGUAGUGAGGAGCCAGCAGGAUAUUUGGAAGAUAAUUAAUUAAUGACUUACUCUAUAUUUACCUCCUUAUUUAUGUUUCUGCUUCCUUUACCAAUUAAGUGAGAAAGUAAAACAGAGAGCUUAUUAACAAAAUGCUUUAUCACUAUAUACUUAAAUAUCACAUAACGACUAAACACAAACUCUAAAUUAAAGCCUAACUGAUUGCUUUGCUAACAAAUCUAAAAUUAUGGGCCGUCCGGUCAUGACGUUAAAAGGAGUCCGGUUUAUUACGAAACUAUCUAAUUUCCUCAGUACGUAAGUCCACAUUGGCAGAUACAGAUUAGAUUAUUGGUUGAUUCGCCCAUUACAUGUGAGUAAACUAAAUUGGUUUAUGCUCGCCCGCCUACGUACACUUGAGCUCGUUGUUAAGGACUAUAUUUACAUUAAUCUGGUACCCUAUUAGGUUUUGUUGGUAUUCCUAAACUACGCCGGCGGUCCUGCUAGCCUAACGGGGCUUAGCUAUUGGUCCUUGCAAGGGUAGGGCAAUUAGUCUCAUAAGUAGGAUUCAAGAGCACAUUCAAUAAAUAUAAUUAUGAUUAAAUCAUAAAUGGUAGAUCUCGGAUAGAUGGAAAACGAGUAAGGGUUAGCAAAGGAAAUCUUGUUAAUCUAGGAUGAUAAUACAUCUGGUGUGUUGGCUCCCCUUACAUUAAACAUUUUAGGGUAGCUUUAAGGUUGCAACGUAAUCAGCUUGUCUGUAGUACCGAGGAGGAUACAUUCAAUAAAAUUAGUUUUGGCGGUAUUGGGUCUAGGAUAUGGGCACCGAUGAUCUAGUAGCAGAUACCCCCACCAGACUAGUUUUUGAUCUUAAAAUUGAGUUAUGUGGUUGAAAGUCUGAUUUAUCAGUACCACUUGGCCCUUCCUUUGCUUUUUUAAACCGAUAUAAUAUUGUAAAUCCUGUUUCUAGCUUGAACACAAUAGUUCACAAGAUGUUCCAAUUAAUCUAGCUUCAGGGUAGGGUAGGUGAGCUCUAUAGGUAGUACAAACUAACAAUAAGUUCCUAAAAAGUAAACAAAUUAAUUGCUUUAUAGACAGCUCUGUAAAGAGAUUAUGUAUUAACUUCCAAACUAUGUUUGUUUGGUGGUUUAUCAAGGGGCGGAUGGUGAUAGAAUAUAUGACAGGUGCUGAAAAGUAGUAAGGGUUUUCAAUAAUAAGAAUAAUAAUAAUAUCCCCUCUGGUUACGCCUAUUGCGUCAGCUAGUGUAAAAGGAUUAGGUUGACAAGUAAAAGAUAUAGUUGAUCAGGUAGAACUUAAUCGAAUUAAUGCAUCAAAACUGAGUAAUAAUAGUAAAAGAGUUGACUCCUAGUGAAGAUAAGCCUAAUACCAAGACAUUCUCUACGGCAAUAGCGUAAGCUAGUAUCAAAUUAAGUCGAUAAAGUAGAUCAAAUUGAACUAAAGUAUCAUCGAACUAAUGCAUCAAAACUAAAUAACUACUAAUGCGUCCGUUACUAAUCUAAAGUAUUAACAUUAUUCAGACCUCUGUUGAACUAACCAUAAUAAGAACAAAAUAAAAUAGUAAAAGAGUUGACUUCUUCCUAGUGAAGAUAAGUCUAAUACGAAUACCCUCCCGUCUACCAUGCCUCUAUUACAUGCUUCCUUAUCUACAUGUUUUAGGUUAACUACGAUACAGUAUUACGACUGGUAACCACUAGAACAUCCAUCAAGACGUUAAACUGUAAACGGUUGAAUCGUUUGAACUUAGCCUGUGAAUUUUUCCAUUCUAUCUUUGGUUUAGGUUUCACCUGUUUUACUUCCCUUUGUUCUCCUACUUUAUUCUGCCAUGCCCAUUGCUUUUAGGUUGGCAUGACAUAUGAACACCAUCACAAAUUAUGUAACCAAGUACCCUUAAAAGUUUCAUCGGUUAAUACCUGCUGGCCCUCUAACUUAUAGUUAUUCCUAUUCUUGGUAACUAAAGGUACCCGGUAUUUUAUAGAGGGCACACCGUAAGGCGGGAUUACUGUACCGAAAAAUAUGUAACUAUGCGAGUAAGCGUUAUUGGUAAACAAGGCCAACGACUUUAGGUAGUCAGCUGGAGUUAAUAAUUUUAACCCUAACCUUUGGUUUGUUAAUCUUUACAAGCAGUAUUACCAUUCUUUCACAAAUCCGUAAUGUUGAUACCUCUACAAGGUAGUAAUCUUUCAGGUCAAGAUAGGUACACUAUGAUCGUACUGGUGUUGGAUUUUAUACAUUAUGGGCCCGCGGGGGUGCCUUAUAGCUCCUCUAUCGUUAGUAAGAGCGGUUCAUAUCACUACGUUUGUAUCGGUAACGCCUUCGUUAGCACUUAGUCUCUUUGCAGCCCAGCCGUGUUCAAAGGCAUAAAAGAACCAUAAUAUAACUAUAGAUGCUCUUAGAUAGUUAAAGUUUGUAGAUUGUAUAAAUAUUCUUACUCUACUUUUUUCGUCGUUUAUUAUAUGUUUAACUUCUCUUACUACUAUAUUACUCCUAUCUAAUUUUAUAAAUAGUUGUUCUAUCUAGUAAAUCAAACAAUGUUGCCUAAAAUUGAACAUACUGAGCACACUGUUAAAGCUAUUCGAGCUUGUUUAUAGCGGCGGUUUUCCAGAUUGUCCUUUAAAUCUCGGGUGUAGAAUAUUGUUUUUUAUCUAGAUUUAUCGUUCGACAUAUCGGCAAAUUGUAACUAUAUAUUUAAUGCAAAUUAGAUUUAAGGCUAGGCUACGCAUUAAGCAUAACGAGAGGGUAAAACAGGGGGUAUACUAAGGUUGCACUGUCAACUAAUCAAGACAAAAAAGGGUUACAGCCCAUAAACCCUGUCCAGACUGUGGUGCUAUGAUUCUACACUAGCCCCUCUUUAUCUAGAAAUAAAUAAAAUAUUUAAAUACUAAUUAAUUUAAUAAAAGAAUAAUCAAACUCGUUUCCUUUCUAGUUUUACAUACAUCCAGGAUCUACCCUUUAUGAUUAAUAGCUAGGGACUCAACCAGUAGGAAUAGUGGUAUAUUACAGAUCGACGUUAAACGAGGGAGGUGAGCUGAAUGUAGAAUGAGAAGUCUAGCUAAAAUAUCAUCGGAUUUUAAGGAUUAUGGGAGACUAAAUCCAACUAAACAUAAUACUAACAGCACAAUACGGUACCAUGAUACAGGGAUAAGCGACAGUCGUAAUUAGAAGAAUAUGGUUAAUUGUAGUAAAUAUUUCUUUUACAAUACUUAAGGUACUUACAGCACUUCCUAGUAUUAAAAGUUAGAUUAAAUUGGCAAGAUUAGGGCUCCCUUAGAUUAAAAUAUUUGUCCGUUGUAUUAGGAUUUAUCCGACCAGUAUGGUUUGAGAAAAUGUGAAAAAAUGUAGAUAAAUGUUAAAAAUCACAUAAUUCUUUUAUCUACCACCCUUCCCAUGUACAGGGUAUACCUUUUAUUCUACUUUAUUCCUCUUCAACCCUUAAUUCACCAUUCCUGCUAUUUACCAUCACCCUUUAAGCGCCCCCUGACGGUUUAGAUUUAUUCCACUUGGCUUACCUCUAAUUCACUUCCAUUGUAAACCACAGGGUAUAAGAAAUAGAGCCAGCUGUCACAUUAAAUAUAAAAUGCACUAACUAGGUCAACUGCUAUGGUAAAACAAAGGGGGCAUUAUUCAAAUUACAUUAUUUCUAUUUAUGCUUGUUUACUUCUAAUAUUUCUUAUCUGAGCUAGGCGGAUCAUUAGGUUCUUCCUUUAUCCUCCUUUAACCAAGUGGGCUGAUCAUAAAGCCCUAGGUUGCCUAUAAAUAACUUAAUAUUUAGAUUUUUCCUAAUUUACCAACUAGUAGCAUAUUACCAGUUAAUGUAAUAAGAUGGCUUCACCUCUAGUUAAGUAAAACACAAGUUAUGAUCAUGAUUUAUGCGGACCCUGAUAAUGUGGAUCUUUUGGUUUCCUGCUGAUCGAACCCGACUUGCCGGCGGAGCCGGCGGGCCCUAACGGCCCCUGUCGGGCCCAAUCCUUUAAACUGUUGCUCACCAUAUCUGAUGUAGCACGAGCUAGCACCAGGGGCUCUGAGGAGACCCCCAGCAUAUAGGAAGAUUAUUACGAGGGGUUGGUUUACCUUUACCAACCUUUCACGAAGUUAUUCAGAUUAUGUCAUCACCCCACCUGGUGCUCGGGUUGGCUGGCCCCACCUUUUGGGCUAUAAGGAGAUACCAGCAGAUAGUGAAGUUUUAGGGCUUUUUAUAUUAUCCUACCUUUUACUUUAUUGCUCAGACUAUAUUAUCACACCGGGUACGGGUGUGUUGGCUAGCACCUCGGUCUAUAAGGAAAGUCCAGCAGAUAUCAUUAUUUUGUCUUGGGUUUUAAUCUUUACCAACCUAUUAGUUUAUUGCUCAUACUAUAUCUACACCCUACGUGGGUGCGGAGGCUCGUGCUGGCCCUGCAUGCAAGGUAAGGGUAGAGGAAGAACGAGCUCUAGGACUAAGUUCUUUAAUUUACGGCCUAGUUUCUAACAGUUUAUACUACUAGUUCACAGCCUUUAAUGAUUUUAUUAUAGCGGUUACAAAUGAUUGAUUGCCAAGGUUGGACUAAAUUUUCAUCUUCAUCAAGUUUGACAGGUUGUUUAAUCUACGGGCUAGUUUCUAACAAUUUGUUCUACUUACAGCCUCCCAUGAUUAAGUAGUAGCUGCUAGGAAGCUGGUAAUAUUUUAUUUACAAAAGAUCGCCAAAGUAGGUAGGACUCACUCUAUUUUUUCAUAAUUUAGGUCUAGUUUAUAACAGUUUAUUCUACUUAUUUAUUGCCUCUACUGAUUAGUUAGUUGCUAGUACGCAGCUUAUAUUUUAUUGAUUUCAUUUUCAGGAACACCCAAAAAUGAUCUAUUUAUUCUCCUGAACCCGACUGCCGUCGGGCCCUCUAAUUUGUUUGAUUCUCGGUUUAGUUCAUAGUUAAUUGUACUUGUUUACAGCCCUAAGGCUUAGAUUCAUGAUUAGUAGUACACAGGUUUUAAGGGUUACCCGCUAGUGGGCGGAAUAUAUCUUCCCCUUGCCUCUAUGUAAUAGCUGGUGAAUUUGACAAUUAUUAUGGUUGAAUUACAAGGCUCAUCUUUAAUUAAUAUUGUUUAUCUUAUUAUUUAGUAAGGAGCUAUCUAUUUACGAAGUAUGUAGCUUUAACGUGAAGUUAAGUAUUUAAGUUAUACCACCUUCAGCAUUAGUGGUUAAAUAUUUACAGUUUCCGACUUUAAGGAGUUACGAGCCAGGUAAUUAGUGUGGUUGUUUUGCAAGGCUAAUAUUGAAUGAAUUCUUGUUUUACCUGUACAGUAAGAAGUUAUCUUUUAUUGAUGGUUGGUUUUAGUUGAGCGAGCCAACUAUGAGCGUAUAAUUAGAAUUGAGUUUGGUGUUACGAUUUACAAGAUGAUGAUAGCUGCUUCCAAUUUCGUCAUGAUUAUUGAUAGCUAGGGCAUCCCUUCGUACUUGAAUCAGUUCCUAGGAUUCUUCUCUUAACUUCCUAUAUAGUUAGUUUAGUAUUUAUUAUUAUAACUUAUUUAAUUUCCUACCUUCUCUGUGGAGGGCUGCAUUCUUCUUCCUUCCCUUACAGUUCUUCAAGCCAUGUUAAAUGCUGCUGGUUGGUUCUCCGUCUACACUGUGUUAUGAUCAUGGUGGAUCUGCUUCUUAUUAAAUUGAACUAGGCUUCACUUACUCUCAUCCCCCCCCCCCCUUGUAGGGUCAACCUACGGCCCGUGGGGGGGGGCCAGGGGUCACUAGCACCACGGGGUAGGGGGAGGUAGGGUAAGACACAAUCCUUCCAGAUUGAUAAUGGUUCAUUACAGAUGGAUGAAAUACCAGGAAGGGACGACAAGGAUAAUCCUCGGGUUGCUACACCCAGGUGGUGAGACUCCUCCUAAAAUCAGUAGCAAGUUAUGCCUCGAGUGGUGUAUAACUACUCAUUAGCCUCAUGAGCCUCUAUUGUGAGGCCUCCCUGGCCCGUGGCCCAUUUGGGGGUGUCGGCUAAUGCCGACAGGGCCCGUCGGCUUAACCGACAAGGGGGGGCGUAUUUUUUUGGUGUGUUGAUUUUUGAUGGGUAGGAAUUUCAUUUCAAAUCAUGUCAUCAAGCAUUUUAUGUUUUUAUGUUAUUGGUGUAGUUGGUUUAUUUUCAGCAUAGGUUGUUGCCUCUUCAUUAAAUCCUAUACAUAGAAUAGCAUUUUAGAUCUAGGUGUUUCUAAGUGGUUCAUUUUUAAUGAUAAUAUUAGAUUUUUAUUUUUUAGGUUUAACUUAUAUUAUUGUUUAUGUGGGUGAUCUGGAUUGCCCCACAUGGUAUUGUAGUCUUAUUCCCUUCAGUGCACCUAAAACAAGAGGAAGCAAAAGAAUAGGUCCUCAUAAUAUAGAUAUUUUAUCAAUUAUAUUUGGUUCAAUGUUAGGAGAUAGUUGGGGUGGGCGCAGUAGCGCUAGUACAUAUUUUGUGCUUCAACAAGAAGAUAGUAACGUUGGUUAUUUGAUGUGGUUCCAUAAAUAGUUAGUAUCUUAGGGUUAUAGUGCUCCAGGUAGACCAAAAAUGGAGAAGAGAGUAGGAAAAGGAGGUAUAAUUCGUUUUUAUUAUCGUGUUCGUACUUUCUGUUUUUCAAGCUUCAAUUGGAUUCAUCUAUUAUUUUAUCCUAAUGGUGUAAAAGUAGUUCCUGCAAACAUUGCGGAAUAUUUAACACCUCUCGCUUUAGCUCUAUGGAUAAUGGAUGAUGGUCUUCGUAUGUCUUCAGGGUUAAGUAUAGCUACUCAUGGGUUUAGUAAAGCUGAUGUGGAAAUUUUAAGUAAAGUGCUUUGGGUUAAAUAUGGCCUUAAAACUACAUUACAUCGAUUUAAACCAGACUUGGAUCAAUAUACUUUAUAUAUUAGCGCUAGAUCUAUGCCUUUAUUAGUUACUAUCAUUCGCCCACACCUGCAUCCUUCUAUGUAUUAUAAAUAGGGCAGAUAUCUUUAAUUGUUUAGGUUAGCCAAUCCGGAGGGCAUUAGAGUACCUUACCAUAGUCUAGGUGAUUUAAAUGUGCAACUAGUAUUGGGAAACAUUUUAGAAUUGAUCAUCUAGGCGAUACAAGUGUUAACGGUCAACAAUAUUUAUAUUUAGACCGUCGGUGGAGUACUUCAUCGCUACAGACUGGUUCACUUGUGGGUGCCUGAAAUGGUGCUUAAUGUACAGUCGGAACUCCAAAUGGUUACUACAAUAACUAUUUCCAAGGACUUUCGUAAAUUAUGCUAAGGAGACCCCAAAAGGGUUUGCGGAAUAAUUAAAGUUACAGCCAAAUGUUUAGAAUUUAGAUUCUUUUAUUAUAACUUUGGGGAGUUUGGCAAUUAUGAUUUUAUUCUUAUUUGUUAUUAUGAUGGUACAAAUUCAUCUAAUGCCAGUUACAACAUCAAUUGCUCCCCGCAUUUUGGAUGGAGAUACAUCUGCUCGUCCUUCAGAUUUAGCUUUAACUUGUGGACUUAAUCAAUUUGCAGGUGUGGAUCACCGAUCCAUACCAACCGCUCUUGGAACGAUUGGUUCUCCACUUAACCGUAGUGGUGCAUCUACAGGUUAGUCACCAAGUAUGUUAAGUUUAGGUGCUACCUCCAGCCAUGACCCUGUAGGGGAUCAUACAACUCCACGUUCAUUGAUUAUUAGUUCCCGUAAAGGUGUGCAUACUCCCUUUUUAUCUUUUUAGAUACUAUAGAUGCCUUUAUAGUCUUAGUAUUUAUAUACCUUAAUUAAUCCACGUACCAUUGGAUAUGGUGGAGGGAAUAUGAUUGUUAAUUAUUUUUUCCCAUCUUGGUUUAUUGAAUUUAAAACAAUGACGGAUCUUGAAACUCUAGCCAAUAUUCUCUAUUAGGGAUAUCCUUCUGCUUUAAUUUUAAUUGGUGUAGCUUUAUGGGCUGUUCUAAUUGGUAUUAUUAAAGUUACAGCUUCUAAAGUUUGAUAACUUUCUGAUGGGUACGCCUUAAGCCUCGCAAGCGACCCGGCCCUCGGGCUCGGUGGA
rnacentral:rRNA from 1 species